GAGAAUGGCGUGAACCCGGGAGGCGGAGUUUGCAGUGAGCCGAGAUCGCGCCACCGCACUCCAGCCUGGGCGACAGAGCAAGACUCAUUCUCAAAGAAAAAAAAAAAAAAAAACAGCAGCUGUGACCAAGGGGCUGUAUGCACAAAGAAAGGAAUGCUUUUUGCUGUUGGUGUUAUAAUUGAUAUGUAACUUUCCUCUUCCCCCAUAGCAAGCAAGUUUAUUGCUGACAUUUAACAUGUGCUUGGAUGAUUGGAGGCCAACCUCUUGUAGGCAAGAAAGUCACAGUGAUGGCAGAUCCUCGCGAGGAGCUCAUACUGGGAUACUCAAAAUGGGGGCGCUUUCCUUUUUGUCUGUACUGGGAAGUGCUUCGAUUUUGGGGUGUCCCUGUUUGAGUAGGGCAUCACGAACCAUCCUGCUUCAAGGGAGCCUGCGGGUCUGACUGCAGCUUCAGCUAUGACCUGGAGUUCCCGGGCUUCUCUGCGGGGCACCAGUCUGUAUGCUCCAUUUUAGAUAAUAAAAAUUGGCAUAUUCUGGGGUGGGCAGGAUACGGGGUUCACCUGCAGAUGAACAGGGCAGGAAAAGCUUGAUGGGGUGUCGGGGGAAUCUGGUUGGCCUUAAAGGGAAUUUGGGGUCCUGUUCCUGAAUUUGGUAGGCAGCAUGCAUGUAAGGCUUGAAGUGGGUUUGGCCAGAGCAUGGGCUGGAGUGCUUCCACCCUGCUACACGGACAAUGCCACAGUCUCACUUUUCCUAACUUUUUUUUUUAAUAAAAUGUGAACAACAUCAUGUGUUUCUGGUCUAUUGGGUUCCUCUGCCACCCACAAGUGCUGGGAUUACAGGCAUGAGCCUCAUGUCUGGCGUUACUGAACCUUCUUCUAUGACCCAAGUACAUUGCCUAAAAAUACUUGUCAGUAUUUUGUGCUUCCCUUCUACCCCUGCUAGAACUUAGAGUUAUGCUCUUUGAGAGUUCUGCUCUUUAAACUUCAAACAAGUUUAAAAAGUAAGGCCGGGCACAGUGGCAGCACUGCCGAGGCCGACGCAGGCUGAUCAUGAGGUCAGAUCAAGACCAUCCUGGCUCACACGGUGAAACCACAUCUCUACUAAAAAAUACAAAAACAUUAGCCGGGCAUGGCGGUGGGUGCCUGUAGUCACAGGCUGAGGCAGAAAGGGCAUGAACCCGGGAGGUGGAGCUUGCAGCCAGCCGAGGUUGUGCCACUGCACUCCAGCCUGGGUGACAGCGAUAACUGUCUCAAAAAAUAAAAACCACCCAGGCUGAAGUGUGGUGGCACCAUCACAGCUCCCUGCAGGCCUGAGCUCCCUAGAUCAAAAGAUCUUCCCAUAUAAGCCCCCCCUCACCCCACCCUUAGUAGCUGGCACCACAGGAGUGUCCCCGCCAUGCUCCACUAAUGUUUAGUAGAAAUUGGGGUCUCAUACAUUGGCCAGCUUGGUCUGAAACUUAGGGGGAAUCAAACAUCCCUCCUUUAGUAGAGAUGGGGCUUUACUGUCUUGCCCUGGGUGGCCUCCCUGGGAUGAUGGGUGUGAGCCACAGUGCCAGGCCUAAGUUCAUAUUUGGAAGGUUUUUUUGCUUCAGAUGGUCUCGUGCUCUCGCUCAGGUUGGAGCGCAAUGGCGCAAUCUUGGUUCACUGCAACCUCUGCCAGCUUAAGCGAUUCUCCUGCCCCCGCCUCCCAAGUAGCUGGGAUUACAGGCAUAAGCCACCACGCCUGGCUAAUUUUUUGCAUUUUUUAGAGAUGGGAUUUCUCCACGUUGGCCAGGCUGCUCUGGAACUCCUGACCCCAGGUGAUCCACCCACCUCGGCCUCCCAAAGUGCUGGGAUUAUAGGCGUGAGCCACCACGUGGGGCCUUCAGUAGGUUCUUAGUUGCUGUUUGCCCUAUCACUGGUUUCCGGGUCUGCUGGCCACUAUCCCCUGUAAGUUUUCCUAUCCCCUGUAGGUGUUCCAAACCCUUGCGGCUGCUUUGCCCACUCCACAGUAUCUGAACUGAAGUAAGAUCUCAAAUUCAAGGGAGUUUUGUUUUGCUAUUUGUACCCGCAAUUCAUAAAGCAGUUGUAGCCUCUGUCCCAAUACCGCCACCACUGGUGGGGAGUCCGCCACGGUAACCAGUAAGACUUCUCUUUAUAUUUGACCUACCUGGGCCUCCUGUCAUCUUUUCUACGGGCAGCUUGGGGAUUGUUAGUUGAGGGUUUUUUGUUUUUGUGUUUUUUUUUUUGUUUUUUUUUUUUUUUAAAGAGAUGGAGUCUCGCUCUGUCGCCAGACUGGAGUACAAUGGCAUGAUCUUGGCUCACUGCAACUUCCACCUCCCAGGUUCAAGCGAUUCUUUUGCCUCAGCCUCCCGAGUAGCUGGUAUUAUAGGCACCCACCACCAUGCCCAGCUAAUUUUUUUUGGAUUUUUAGUACAGAUGGCGUUUCCCCAUGUUGGCCGGGCUGGUCUCACUAAACUCCUGACCUCAAGUGAUCCACCCACCUUGGCCUCCCAAAAUUCUGAGAUUACAGGUUUGAGCCACUGCGCCCAGCCUUUAGUUGAGUUUCUUAAGCUUGUUUAGGGUUUAGCCUGUAUGGCCAGCAGGGUGUAGGUGGGGGUGGUUUGUAAGCAGGGCUGUUUGCUUCAGAAGCAGCUGUGGAAACAGGACUGAAUGCAGACAUAUAAAGAAUAUUGGGUAAAUAACUUUUUAAAAAAUUUAGAGAUAGGAUCCCACUAUGUUGCCCAAUCUGGUCUUGAAACCUAAACAAUCUCUUAUCCCAAAGUGCUGGGAUUGCAGAAAGCUUAAGGCACAGUUUUACGUGGUAAUGGUGGGCCAUUUUUAGUUUCUUUUUUGUAGACGAUCAUGUCAUCUAGGCUGGAAUGUAGCGGUUCUGUCGAGCUAGGUGUAGCCUCCACUUCCUGGACUCAAGCAUUUUUCCUCAGCUUCAGUAGCUGGGUCUAUGCAUGAAUACCCCUUCUGGGGUAGAUAGAUAGUAGUACAUAGAGUAGAUAAUUUUUUUGUGUUCAGGCGGCACCUUAAGGUUGGUGUAAAAAUUCUUGGCCUUCUAAAGAGCUGGAAUUAGACAUGAGCUGUUGCACCUGGCCAAUGGGACAAUUAUGUCUACAGGACUGAAUCAGUAUCUGAUCUCUGGAGUUGUAAGGUCACUUUUUCUGAAACUGCCUCAGUCUCCUUGCAGGUUCUGGUCUGUAGAUCUCCAGUGUGUGGGCUGAGCACAGCAUGGGGACCUGAUUUCCCACCGGGCAGUGACAUAGUUUAAAGAUUCUUAGUUCGAAUUCCUAAUAAUGGGAAUAUAGGUUUCUGUGUAUUGAAAUGGGAAUAUGCAUUUUUUUUUUUUUUAGAGUCUUGCUCUGUCACUAGGCUGGAGUGCAGUGGCACAAUCUCGGCUCACUGCAACCUCCGCCUCCUGGGUUCAAGUGGUUCCCCUGCCUCAGCCUCCUGAGUAGCUGGGACUACAGGCGCCCUCCA
rnacentral:lncRNA from 1 species